AUCAAUCAACUUGUCAGGGUGUUCCACGUAUACGAUAUAGAAAACACUUGUUGUCUUAAAUACGAACAUAUCGGAGCGAGACGACACUUGAGCACCGCACACUUCCUCGACACUCUCGCUCCAGACCGUCUUCGUUAUGAUUUGCAAACAUUUUCUCCUCUUCACAGUGUUUGUUCUCCUCGCUGUAGUCGAGUUCAGCCACCCCGUGCAUGCAAAGAUACCAUACCCCUGUCAAAGAUGGGGCGGAACCUGCAUCCCAGUCAAGCAGAGUGGGCGUUGUAAGGAUGUGAUUGGUCCCGAAUUUGCCACGUGUCCUACAUGCACUAUCUGUUGCAGAGGAGCCACCGCAAGUGGUGGUCCAAAGUAGACAAGGCCCAGGCGGGUCCGUGUAUGACCGGGGCUUGUCUGUACCUUGGAUCAUCUGGCAAGCCCUUCUGGGUCACAUGUCAAGCAUAUCCGGGUAAUCCUUCAAGGCUACCAUCAACACGGAACUUUCUGUCACUUGUAAAGCCCCUGUCAUGACUGAUUAAAUAAUAUGACUGUU